GGGGAUGUAGCUCAGUGGUAGAGCGUGUGCUUCGCAUGUACAAGGUCCUGGGUUCAAUCCCCAGCAUCUCCA
rnacentral:tRNA from 1 species